CCUGCCCUAGAGUUUCACACAUCGACUCAGAGCGGGUCACUGCAUACACGGUUCAAAUGCAGUCACACAGCUAACGAGCGUCUCGUUCCCUCACCUCACUGAGGUGCGCGCACAGGUCGUCCCCCGGUGAGGUCUCGCCUUGUACCAUAAAGUCAAAUGUUUAUCAGUUCAUUCUCAGGCCGUAAACUUUAGUGCCCAUAAGAGUCGUAAGAAGAUGAAAGAGUUCGCCGUCAAUUACGGUGGACCUUGGCUUCAACUUAUUUGACAGAACACCAAUUCAACUGAGGCCAAUUCAACUGACCUUCCAGACAAACACAACCCACUGGGAGGUUUAUGAGACUUUUAAAGAGAAUUUUACAACAUUGCAAGUCACUGUCCUGCACAAGAGACCCAUUGUGUGUGGCUGCACUGA